rnacentral:rRNA from 1 species
GUCCACGCCCUAAACUAUGUCUACUAGUUGUUGGGGGAGUUAAAUCCCUUAGUAACGCAGCUAACGCGAGAAGUAGACCGCCUGGGGAGUACGGUCGCAAGAUUAAAAACUCAAAGGAAUUGACGGGGGCCCGCACAAGCGGUGGAUGAUGUGGUUUAAUUCGAUGCAACGCGAAAAACCUUACCUACCCUUGACAUGUCCGGAAUCCUGCAGAGAUGCAGGAGUGCCCGAAAGGGAACCGGAACACAGGUGCUGCAUGGCUGUCGU